UACGUAGGGUGCGAGCGUUGUCCGGAUUUACUGGGCGUAAAGCGCGUGUAGGCGGAAGCGCAAGUCCGGUGUGAAAGCCCCCCGCUCAACGGGGGAAGGUCGCUGGAAACUGCGCUUCUUGAGGGCGGCAGAGGGAAGUGGAAUUGCUGGUGUAGCGGUGAAAUGCGCAGAUAUCGGGAAGAACACCCGUGGCGAAGGCGGCUCUCUGGGACGGUACUGACGCUGAGACGCGAAAGCGUGGGGAGCGAACAGG
rnacentral:rRNA from 1 species